rnacentral:rRNA from 1 species
GAGUUUACAACUCCCAAACCCCUGUGAACAUACCACUUGUUGCCUCGGCGGAUCAGCCCGCUCCCGGUAAAACGGGACGGCCCGCCAGAGGACCCCUAAACUCUGUUUCUAUAUGUAACUUCUGAGUAAAACCAUAAAUAAAUCAAAACUUUCAACAACGGAUCUCUUGGUUCUGGCAUCGAUGAAGAACGCAGCAAAAUGCGAUAAGUAAUGUGAAUUGCAGAAUUCAGUGAAUCAUCGAAUCUUUGAACGCACAUUGCGCCCGCCAGUAUUCUGGCGGGCAUGCCUGUUCGAGCGUCAUUUCAACCCUCAAGCACAGCUUGGUGUUGGGACUCGCGUUAAUUCGCGUUCCUCAAAUUGAUUGGCGGUCACGUCGAGCUUCCAUAGCGUAGUAGUAAAACCCUCGUUACUGGUAAUCGUCGCGGCCACGCCGUUAAACCCCAACUUCUGAAUGUUGACCUCGGAUCAGGUAGGAAUACCCGCUGAACUUAAGCAUAUCAAU